ACUGCAUGCUGGGUGGUUUGUUCAAGAGAGGUGGCUCUGCUCUCCUGGACAUGUUUAUUUUUCAAAUUGACAAAGAGUAAAAGAUCUUUUCUGACAUUUUGCCUUGGGGGACUGGAUUAAAGGUUUACAGAACUUUCAGAAGGCAGCAAUGGAUUAAUUUGGAUGAGGGGCCCAGGGGCCUCUUGAAAGGGAAGAGACUGAGUAAUCUACAGGAGCUAGAGAGAAGAUAUCGUCUAGACCGAUUGGCCCGACUCUACCCUUUUUUCGUGGAGUGCAGUGGUGUAAUGUGUAGCGUACCUGGACUGUCUGGACUGGUCUACACUGGAGACUUGAUCUUGUGUCUUGUACUCAGGAAGAUUAGCCCUGAGCUAACUACUGCCAGUCCUCCUCUUUUUUGCUGAGGUAGCCUGGCCCUGAGCUAACAUCGUGCCCAUCUUCCUCUACUUUAUACGUGGGACACCUACCACAGCAUGGUGUGCCAAGCGGUGCCAUGUCCGCACACGGGAUCAGAAUCGGCGAACCCCGGGCCACUGAGAAGCGGAAAGUGCGAACUUAAUCACUGUGCCACCGGGCCGGCCCCUAACUGGAAAACUCUUAAUCUGUCCUUCAAAUCUGAAUGAUAACCUUGCUGAGUAGAGCAUUCUUGGUUGGUAGUUUUUUCCUCUCAGCACUUUGAAUAUGUUGUGCCACUUCCUUCUAGUCUGUAAGAUUUCUGCUGAAAAAUCUGCUGAUAGCCUAUGGGGUUUCCCUUGUACGUAACACUUUGUUUUUCUCUUGCUGCUUUUAGGAUUCUCUCUUUAUCUGUAACUUUUACCAUUUUAACUUUAAAGUGUCUUGGUGUGGGUCUCUUUGGGUUCAUGUUAUUUGAAACUUUCUGGGCUUCUUGGAUCUGGAUGUCUAUUUCCUUCCCCACACUGGGGAAGUUUUCAGCCAUUAUUUUUUCAAAUAAUUUUUCUGGCCCUUUCUCUCUCUCCUCUUUUUCUGGAAUCCCUAUAAUGUGAAUGUUAUUCUGCUUGAUAUUGUCCCAAAAGUCCUUUAAGGUAUCUUCACUUUUCUUACUUUUUUUCUUUUGACUUUUAUUCUGCUUUAUCUGGAUGAUUUCCAUCACUUUGUCUUUCAGGUUGCUGAUUUGUUCUUCUACUUCAUCCAGUCUGCUGUGAAAACCUUUUAGUGGAUUUUUCAGUUCAGUUAUAACUUUUGUUUUGUACUUUCUUAUACUUUCUAUCUCUUUGUUGAAGAUUUCACUGUGUUCAUCUAUUCUUCUCUUGAGUUCAGUAAGCAUGUUUAUGACCAUUAGUUUGAACUCCUUAUCUGGUAGAUUGCUUAUUUCCAUUUUGUUUCAUUCUUUUUCUGAGGUUUUGUCUUGUUUAUUUAGAACAUAUUCCUCUGUCUCCUCAUUUCGUCUUGCUCUCUGUGCUUAUUUCUAUGUAUUAGGCAGAUCAGCUACUUCUCCCAGUCUUGAAGGAGAGGCCUUAUAUAAGAGAUGUCUUGUGGGGUUCAGAAGUGCAAUCCCCCCUGCCCACUACAGCCAGGAACUCAAGGGGUGUCCUGUCUGUGUGCACCCUCCUGUUGUGGUGGGGCUGUGUCUGUGGCCAGAGGAUGGGCAGGGCCAGUGUCUGGACUAGCUGAAGCGUGUGCCCAUAGCUGCUGCAAAUCAUUGGUGAACAGGGCUGGCCCCUGAACUGGCUGUGAGGCAUGGCCAAGUUCGCUGCAGCUCUUUGGUGGACAAGGUUAUUGCCCUGCCCAGCUGUGAGGCUCGACUGAGGUUCAGGGAUUGGCAGGAUCCCAGUAAGGUGUGCCCACUGGUGCUAGCAGGUUAGACAGAGAAUUCCAAAAUGGUACCUGCCAGUGCUGGCAUUAGCAAGGUAGAGUGUGACUACAAAAAUGCCUCCUGCCAGUAUCUCAGUCCCCAAGGAGAGUCCCAACUGGUUCCUGCCUCUCUGGCAGAGGCUUAUGAUUAGUAAGUGAGUCUCCUUUACCUAUAAUCUUUGUGCUUUUCCAACUGGUGUUUUUGGGCUGGUUUCUGGGUCAAGUGAGCCUGUGCAUGAACCCUUUAAGAACAGGUUUUCCAUUCCCUAUAGUUCUAUAGUUUUCCUGGACAUAAUCCUCCUUGGCUUUUAAAUCCUGAUGUUUGGUGGGCUCAUCUCACCUAUGCAGGAUCUAAGUGUUGGGUUGCCUGAUGUCGACCUUGAAUUCCUUGCUCCUCGAAAGUUUCUGUACCUUUGAGAUCCCUCCUGAUUGUUGAUCAUUGUGGCUGAGGUGUGGUUUUCUCCUUGGUGAGACUAUUUCUUUGCCUUUGCUGCCCAUCUUGAUGCUGUCCUUUUAUAUUUUCUUGUGGAGGCUCUGUUCGUUCAGUUUUCAGGUCCUUUUCAGAGGCGAUUGUUCCAUAUGUAGUUGUUAUGGCCAUGGGAGAAGAUGAGUUCAGGAUCUUCCUAUGCCACCAUCUUAAACCCUCUCUCUUGAGCUUAAGACUUUGGUUCUUGUUCAAAUCGUACUUUGAAUUGCAGAUUGAGAGUCAUAACACUUUAAACUAUUGAUGAUUAAAAAUGACCCCAGGUGAAAGUGUUUUGGAUCUUUCUAGAAAGUUUCGAUUUGGGAACAGAGAGAGAUUUGAAGGGUUUGGAUCCUAGAAUUGGUGUGUAAGCAAGAGAGGAGGGCAGUGGGAACAGAGAAGACACACUUUGAUGUGGGGGGAAAAUGUGUAAUAUAAAUUUUCCAGACUUGGGAAUAAGAAAGAGUUUAAGAAAAAGUUGAGAAAACUAGUUCUCAGUUUCAGAACCAGAUGCAAGGGAUAAGAAUUGGGAAAACAGUGAAAAGCUCUUUGAGCUAAUUGCCCCGUUUUAUUGGUCCUGGCCUUUGGCAUUGCACAUGAAUAUAUAUCACAGUUGUGGUGGAUAGGACUCAGUGAAGAGUUAAUGCUAGUAUCUAUUGACUACUUACCAUAUGCUAGGCAGCGUUUUAAGUAUUUAUAUUUACUGACUCAUUUGAACCUCAUAACAAUUCCAUGAGGAAGAUGCUGCCAUUCAUCCCUAUAUUAGUUUUCUAGGGCUGUCAUAACAAAGUACCACCAGCUGAAGUACCACCAAGUGGCUUAAACAACAGAGAUUUAUUGUCUCAUAGAAUGGCAGCUAGAAGUUCAAAAUGAAGGUAUUAGCAAGGUUGGUUCCUUCUGAGGGCUUUGAAGGAGAAUCUGUUCUGGGGCUCUCCUAGCUUCUGGUAGCCUUAGACAUUUCUUGACUUGCAGAUACCCUUCUCUCUAUGUCAUACUCUCUUUCUUCUAUACAUUCCUUAAUACGGUCUUCCUUCUUUAUAUUCUUUCAUACUGUCUUCCUUCUAUACAUGCCUAACUCAAUGUCCCAAUUUCUCAUUUUUAUAACGACACUAGCCAUAUUGGAUUGGGGCCCACCUCAUUUUAACUUGAUCAUCUGCGAAGACCCUAUUUCCAAAUAAGUUCACAUUCACAGGUACUGGAGGUUAGGAUGUCAACAUCUAUCUGGGGGACAUAAUUCAACCCAAAACAGUACCCAUUGUAAAGACGAAUAAACUGAGGCACAGAGAAGUCAGCUAAGUUGCCCACCACCACUGAGAAAGUAAGUGGUACUGGCAGAGUCAGAGCUCCUAACCAUAACGCUAUAUUACUUCUCAUAAAAGCAGCCCUGAUGCAGAAAGACUGGAUUACAGUACAACAAAAUUAUUGCUAGGGUGGUAUGUGAUUGAAAGGUGUUGCCAUCUUCUAUUCUGGAGCAAUAGUGGGCAUGAUCUAAGCUUUAUAAAUUGAUUUUAAUUGAGAUUUACAUUAGCACUAUCUAAAGCUAUGUCUGUUUGAGGAGACUGGGUGGCAGGCAUGGGAGAAGAACAGGACAAUUCCUUGGACAAGAUAAUCUGCUCCUUAAGUCGAAACUUCAGAUGAAGGUAAAAUGAAAGAAAAUUGUUCCUUCACACCUCCUGGGUUAUAAUUGAAAUAUGCUUUUUAUAUAGUGAAAUGUACAUGUCCUAAGUAUACAGUUUGAUGCAUAUUGAUGAGUGUAUACACCUGCACGUUAACUAUGGGAUUGAAGGUCUGUCACGUUGUUUUGCAUCCUAACCAGCAGUAGAAGUCCUCAGUGAGAGAGGAUUUUGAACACUUGUCUGAUUUCUCAUUUUAUAGAAGUGAUGAGGUGAAGUGGUGCGUAACCAGGCCUAACUUUAUUUUCGUUGAUUUUCAUUAUCUAAAAGUGUUGUUCUCCUUUCUUCCCACAUUUUUUUGAUUCACUCUCAUCAAUCAUCUUAAUCUUUUUACUGCUUUUGAUUGGGGUUUGUGCCUAAUUGGAGACGAUUCCUUAGGCCUUGAUCCAUUCAGUCCACAGCCUGAUAAGGGUGUUUGAAGGAUUACAGUGGCCAAUUUUUUUCUACUAUUGGUAUAAAAACGGUAGGAUUUAGAAACCUAAAGAGGAGCUUAAAGCAAGAUGUAGAAAGGAAGAUCUAACGGAGCAGCUUGUGUGUAGAGCAGUAUGGCUACACCUGCUGUUUGCCAACCCUCUGCCCGCGCCUUUCUCUCCUCUUAUGUCACAACUUGGUAUGGAGGGAGAGACACAUGCUGCUGAUCUUGACAGCAGCUUCCUGACCUCUGAGGACAGCCUGAAGCUUGAAGGAGCCUCUGAGGGGUGUGGUAUCAGUGCUAAUGGUGGAGGUGGGGUGUGAAUUUCGCCACUUCGACUUUCUUUGUCCUUCUCUGUGUUCCUACAAGAAUAAUGGAAUUCCAGCAAGCAAUAGUUUAGAGAAGCAUUCAAGAUCAUGUAGAAAAUCUCUGGAAAACAAUUGAAUUAAUUGUUCCUUAAGAUUGCUUCCAACUCUGUGAUUCUAGAAUUCAUUUUUCAAAUAAAAAGUUGAGGUCCCAAGAAGUAAGUGACUUAAAAAUAAUAUGCCAAUAGUUGGUGCAGAGCCAGGACUGCAUGAUUCGUGUCGCCAACUUUGGUACACCCGUCGUGAAAUGCAUAAGCCCCCAAAGCCAGUUCUCAGUAAGACUCUGUAUUCCUUCCAUCUCACUUUUAGGCUUUUGAUUUUUACUCAAACUCUACGACCUUUCAAGCUUACCAACUGAGGGUUGACUAUGCCCCUGUCAAGGGUGGAGGUGAAUGUGGCAGCACUCAGCACACUGCUCCUCUCUCACUGGCAUGGCCACUGUGAUCCCAAUGAAAUAAUGGCUCACGAGACCCAUGGCCCACACACAUCACCACCUGAUGCACCUCAAAAUGCUGAUGUGGGAAGCAACUUUCCAGCUGAUAACUUUGCUGUUGUAACUAAAAGUAGGAAACAAGAAGAGAAACAGUGUUGAAUUAAAAGUUCCGACUUGUUUUGGAUACCAAGCCAAGAGCUGUGGUGUCUCAGGUUUUACAAGUGCUCUGUCAAUCAUAGAGGGACAGGUGGAAUCUAUAGUACUCUGUGCUGCAGAGGAGGUUAUAAUUGGGCAGGCUACUUCCCCUCCCCUUUUCUGUUUCCUCCUUCAGAGCUCAGCUAGCAGUGUGGAGCUCUGAAAUGAUGCUUGUCUAGUCACAAUGUGAAGACAGUUCCCUUGUCUGUCUUAGUUUUCCCCUGGUCAGUAUUUAUAUUUACCAAAAGAAGAGAAUACACUGUAGUAAGUGGAAGGCUCAUAAAAAUAUGGCGAAGACAGCAGGAUGCGGCAUGAGGUCAACUUGGGCAGCAUGAGAUGUAGCAGAGGCUGCAUAAUUGCCAACGGCCAUUCUCUGAGGUCAAGGACCCCAUUCUGGCCCAGAUCUUUCCUUCUUUCCUGCAGCACCUAACACAAAGCUCUCACCUCCUAGGUCCUCUUAGUCCUUCUGUUAACUUAGUCCCACUGCUGUUAAGUGACUUACCUUCUCGGCCAGCCCCUGCUCUAUCACAAGAUCAAAUCAGCAAGAGAAGGAGCAAUUCUCCUCUCAGCUUCCCUGCCAAGGCGUCAGGAAAUUUUGUCCGGGUGCUGCUACAGAAAGGUUAAAGAAAAGACCGCGCAUUUAAUCAAUUUCCUAAAUUUAUCCUUUAAGUUUGUGUAAGUAUAUGGUAACUAGCAAUGAUUUAUCCUAACACAUCUUCACAUGAAUUCCAAAACAUUUUCUAAGCCAUACUCCAUCAAUCCUCCAAGCGGUUUUUAACACGGAUAGGAAAAUGAACAUGUUUUCUAUGACUCAUAAACAAUAUGGCUGCACUUAAUAAACCCAAUUGUAUACAGAUUGUGAUGAUGAUUCCUCAGCCCUACCAAAGUCAGAGAAGUGAGUUCACGCUGGGGGAAGCACUCACUGGGUCAAAAGCAGUAUGCAAAUACAAGAGUGUCAAUGGCUGUGUCCCAUACCCAGUGCCUCAUAAACAUUAAACAUAUAUUGAGGAAUUUGUGGUUCCUUACGCAAUUUCUUCAAUACAUUUUUAAAAAGUCUUUCUUAUCUUUUAAAGGACAAAAGCAUUACAUAUAACUGUAAAUUUAAAAUGUACACAAGUGUAUAAAAGAAAAUAUAAAAGUCUCUUUCAUUAUCACCCUCUUUCUCACUCCUCGGCAGUAAGAACUGGUAACAAUUUGUGUAUACUUGCAAACACUUUUUCCUACAUUUAUAAAUAUAUAUUUACAAAAUAUAAAGCCUAUAUAUUAUUUUGCAAAUCAUUUCUAUCGCUUAGUAACGCAUGUUGUGGUAUUAUAAAAUAUAUAAAUCUAAGUCAUGUUUUUUAAUUGCCACAUACAUUUUUUUCAAUCUAAAAGAUUUUUAACCCAUCCCUUACGGAUGAUCACUUAUGUAGUUUCCAACUAUUUUCUUAGUGCAAACAAUGCUACCAUAAAGAAUUCUGUGAACAGAAAUGCUGCAAUAAAUAUUCCCAUAGCAUUGUUUGUUAUAAAAAAAUAAUUGUUACAAUUCUCCUUGGAGAAGGUAAGUGUGUCUUUAGUAAAAAUUCUUGUAUUGAAUUGCUUUCAAAGGGUGUUUCCAUGCAUCAGUUAGCUAUUUUUGUAUAACAGCUUAAGACAACCAUUUAUUAUUAUUCACAAGAUGACAUAUUAGCGGUUCUUCUUGGCUACACUGAGUCACAUGUCUAUUGUCAGAUGGGGGCAGGCAGUGCUGUUGAUCUUGUUGGGCUUUCCCACAUAUUUGGGGGUUGAUUAGCCCUUGGCUAGUCUGGAUAGCCUCAGCAUUUCUCCUAAAGCCUAGCCAAAGCAUGUUCCCAUGGCAAGACAGAGGUCGAUAAGAGGAAAUAGAAAUAUUCAACCAUUUCUUUAAGCCAAGUGUCAAGUUUGCUACCAUCCCACUGCCCAAAGCAAGCUACAUGACCAAGCCUGGAGUAUAUAGGAGGACAUUAGCAAAG
ensembl:lncRNA